rnacentral:snoRNA from 1 species
UGUCAGUGAUGAAAGCUGUGUCCCAUUCUGCUACUGACAUUAAGUGGAUAAAGUUACGUCUAAGGAA